AAAGCAGGGAUUGUGUGUAUCGGCGUUGUGCUACUGAAGGUGCACAGUGUCCGAAAGAGUUCCCUGCGACAUAGAUCUGGGGAAGGUGGGCAGUUGUGUUUCAUUCCUUCGAUUGAAACUUUCAACAAUCAUCUUCUCCACAUUU